UACGGGGGGGGCAAGCGUUGUUCGGAAUUACUGGGCGUAAAGGGCUCGUAGGCGGCCAACUAAGUCAGACGUGAAAUCCCUGGGCUCAACCCAGGAACUGCGUCCGAUACUGGGAGGCUUGAAUCCGGGAGAGGGAUGCGGAAUUCCAGGUGUAGCGGUGAAAUGCGUAGAUAUCUGGAGGAAUACCGGUGGCGAAGGCGGCAUCCUGGACCGACAUUGACGCUGAACGGCGAAAGCUAGGGGAGCAAACGGG
rnacentral:rRNA from 1 species